rnacentral:rRNA from 1 species
UAGCUCGGAUGAAUCUGCCGGAACUAACCGGUAAGGCUAAAUAUUCCUUGAGACCGAUAGUGAACUAGUACCGCGAGGGAAAGGUGAAAAGAACCCCGGUGAGGGGAGUGAAAUAGAACUGAAACCUUAUAUUUACAAGGAGUUGAAGAGGUCUUGUACCUCGACAGCGUGCCUAUUGAAGAAUGAGCCAACGAGUUGUAUUGUCGAGCUAGGCUAAGCAGCAUAAAGUUGUGGAGCCGCUAGCGAAAGCGAGUGUUAAUAGCGCGAAAAUUUGUUCAACAAUACAGACCCGAAGCCGGAUGAGCUACCCAUGAGCAGGGUGAAGCCUGUCGAAAGACAGGUGGAGGCCCGAACCAGUAAGUUGUGCGACUCUUUUGGAUGACUUGUGGGUUGGAGUGAAAAGCUAAUCGAAUUCGGUAAUAGCUGGUUCUCGUCGAAAUAUUUUUUGGAAUAGCGUCAGAUGGUCCCUUUAGGGGUAGAGCACUGGAAGGUUUUGACUAGUAGAAAUACGGCAACACCUAUCAAACUCCGAAUACUAAAGGUUAAUAGUCUGGCAGUCAGACUCCGGGGGCGAAGCUCCGGCGGUCAAAAGGGAAACAGCCCAGAUCUAAAAUUAAGGUCCCUAAGUAUAUGCUAAGUGUAAGCGAGGAUGUGAAGUUUCAUUGACAAUGAGGAUGUUGGCUUAGAAGCAGCCAUCAUUGAAAGAAAGCGUAACAGCUCACCCAUCGAGAGACUUUGCGCCACAGAUGAUCGGGACUCAAGCAUAUCACCGAAGUUUAGGGAUUGAACAUUUAUUUGUUCAAUCGGUAGACGAGUGUUCUUAUCUGCGUUGAAGCGGAAGGGGUGACCCACCGUGGAGCGUUAAGAAGUACGAAUGUUGGCACAAGUAACCGCAAUGGGGGUGAGAUCCCCCCACGCCGAAAGAAUAAGGUUUCCUUCGCAAUGUUUGUCAGCGAAGGGUUAGUCGGGCCUAAGCAGAUGGCUAUGCGCCGAAUGCGAUGGACAAAAGGUUAAUAUUCCUUUACUCCGUAUAAAUGUGAUGGAAUGACGCAUUGUUGUAAUUUACGCCACUUAUCAGAUUGUGGUCUUUGUAAUGAUUAGCUAGAGCAUGUAAAUCAGUUCUAGAAUACUGAAAGUUAUGAAGCGAAGCUUGUAGCAAUACAAGUCAAGGUAGACGAGCACGGUGCCGAGAAAAGUUUCUACAUCUACUGAAUAGUAGAUAUUGUUUUGUGAUUAAUGAGUCUAGUUAUCUAUGACUUAUUAAUCACAUAAAUAAUACUUUAAGUUUAUAUGGAUCCGUACCGCAAACCGACACAGGUAUUCAGGUCGAGAAGACUAAGGCGAACGAGUGAUUUCUCCCAAAGGAACUAGGCAAAAAAGCAGCCGUAAGUUAGCAAUAAGGCUUGCCCAUAGCAAUAUGGGCCGCAGCGAAAGUUUCUCUGGCAACUGUUUAUCUAAAACACAGCUCCAUGCGAACUCGUAAGAGUAUGUAUAUGGGGUGACACCUGACCAAUGCGGGAAGGUUAAAUAUUGGUGGUCACAUUCUGACUUUAAUGAUCUAAUCUGAAAAUUUUUUUAAAAUUUUCUUCUAUUUUUUAAUUUAUUAGAAAAUAGAUAGGAUUAUUUCAAUGAAGUCAGAAUGUGGCUGACUGAUAUAAGCCCCCGUCAAUGUCGGCGAUAACUAUAAUCGUCCUAAGGUUCUGGAUAUAAAUUAAUUUUUAUGUCCGGAAUGAUUGGGACGAUAAAAUAGGUCGUGAAUAGUUUUAGAAAACAAGUUUUAAAUUCAUUACACGAUUAAGCUACCCCGCAUCUUAGAAAUAUUAAUGCGGUCAAAUGUGGUUAACAAGAGACCAACGCCACACACCUGACUAUCGAAAGAUAAAGGUGAAGAUAGAGUCCAACUUUUAAAGGAACAGUUGAGCGAAGUUCCUUGUCUGGUAAGUUCAGACGUGCACGAAUGGUGUAAUGACUGGGGAACUGUCUCUGGGAGUAGCUCGGUGAAAAUACAAUGGCGGUGAAGAUGCCGCCUACCUGCAGAUAGACGAAAAGACCCCGUGAGCUUUACUCUAGCUUGGUAUUGUGUUUAUUAAUUUAUUGCGUAGAAUAGUGGUCAGAGGUUUGAUGUUGUAGGUUUCGGCUUACAUCUACUCGACAGUGAAAUAGCCAUCUUUAAAUUGAUAAACACUAACCUCAACGGAAAAAACGUUGAGAGACAGUAUCUGGUGGGGAGUUUUACUGGGGUGGUACCCUCCUAAAAAGUAACGGAGGGGUUUAUUAAGGUCAGUUAGGCGCGAAUGGAAACCGUGCCGAUAGUGUAAUGGCAUAAACUGGCUUGACUGUAAGACGGGCAUGUCGAGCAGAUACGAAAGUAGAACAUAGUGAACCGACAAUUCGCAUUAGAUGCGGUUGAGGAUUAACGGAUAGAAGCUACCACGGGGAUAACAGGCUAGUUCCGCCUAAGAGUUCAUAUCGACGGCGGAGUUCGGCACCUUAACUUAUGUUACAAGUUCUAAGAACAAACAUACAUCGGGGUGCCUAGGGCAGUAAUGCACUAUAAAAAAUAUUUAGCUAUAUGCUGGAACUCCUGGCCAAAAUAGUAUAAUUUGACUCAAACAGUAAUCUGAAAAGAUAAGCUGAGUAGUUUAAAAACAAAAUAUACGCAGGACGAUCAGCAGGGAAGACUUCUAAGUUUAGAAAUAAAUAUGAAGAACCCUCAGAGACUACACGCUAAACUCCUAAUUAAUUUUAGGAUGAAGAUAUAGUCCAAUCCUCACAGUAAUGUGGGAAGAUACGUGUUUCGUCACACGUGCAAUAGGAGAUUUAAGAUAGAUUAGAACCAGACAGCGAUGUCGGCUCAUCUUAUCCUGGGGGUGGAGAAGCUCCCAAGGGUAUGGCUGUUCGCCAUUUAAAAAGAUACGCGAGCUGGGUUCAAACCGUCGUGAGACAGGUUGGUCUCCUAUCUACUGCAGGCGCUUGGAAUAUUGAGGAGAUUUGUCUCUAGUACGAGAGGACCGAGAUGAACUGACCUCUGGUGUGUGGGCUCUAGCGCUAGCUGGACCGCCCAGUAGCCAAGUCGGGAAUGGAUAAGUUCUGAAAGCAUCUAAGAACGAAGCCAACUCCAAGAUAAGUAUUCUAUAAGGGUCGUAAGAGAUUAUUACGUUGAUAGGAUCUAGAUGUAAGCACAGCAAUGUGUUCAGUCAAGGAUUACUAAUAACCCGCACUUAUCAAGAAA